GCUGAUUCCCAUCUCCUCCCUCAGGAAGUUACCUGCCUAGAUACACCAGUUUCUGGGCCCUCCAAAGUUUCUUUCCCUUAUGGAUGUUCUGAAUUCAACCCUCAGCACUCUAGUUGCCUCUGGAACUUGGGGUCUAGUUUCCCUUCCGGAUAUGCUGACUAGAAGUGCCAUCCAGGCUGCCCACAGAUGGAAGAAUCUCUUUUCCUCUGAAUAAGAUGUGAUGGAGGGGUCCGGGACUUUGAUGUAAUUUCUUCAGAAAUGCUGACUAUGAAAAUAAAUAUCGGCCGUAUCAG
rnacentral:lncRNA from 1 species